rnacentral:rRNA from 1 species
CCUACGGGAGGCAGCAGUGGGGAAUAUUGCACAAUGGGGGAAACCCUGAUGCAGCGACGCCGCGUGAGUGAAGAAGGAUCUCGGGACGUAAAGCUCUAUCAGCAGGGAAGAAAAUGACGGUACCUGAGUAAGAAGCCACGGCUAACUACGUGCCAGCAGCCGCGGUAAUACGUAGGGGGCAAGCGUUAUCCGGAUUUACUGGGUGUAAAGGGAGCGUAGACGGCAGAACCAGUCUGGAGUGAAAUCCCGGGGCUUAACCCCGGAACUGCUUUGGAAACUGUGCGGCUGGAGUGCAGUAGGGGUAAGCGGACUUCCUAGUGUAGCGGUGACCUGCUUAGUUAUUAGGAG